AGCAGCAUGGCGCAGUGGUAGCGCGCGGGGCCCAUAUGAGUGUCGUCCACCAAAAAUGGUACCCCGAGGUCACUUGAUCGAAACAAGUUGCUGCUA